ACGUAGGGUGCGAGCGUUGCCCGGAUUUAUUGGGCGUAAAGGGCGCGUAGGCGGCAAAUUAAGCCAGCUGUGAAAUCUCCGAGCUUAACUCGGAACGGUCAGCUGAUACUGAUCUGCUAGAGUGCGGAAGGGGCAAUCGGAAUUCUUGGUGUAGCGGUGAAAUGCGUAGAUAUCAAGAGGAACACCUGAGGUGAAGACGGGUUGCUGGGCCGACACUGACGCUGAGUGCGCGAAAGCCAGGGGAGCAAACGGGA
rnacentral:rRNA from 1 species